rnacentral:rRNA from 1 species
GGUGGAAGUCUAGUAGAGCGGCGAACGGGUGAGUACAAGGUGGGUAAUGUUCCUUCGGGUGGGGAAUAACUCCGGGAAACCGGGGCUAAUACCGCAUGUGGUCUUUCGGUUCACGGACUGGAAGAUCAAAGGUGCACGUCGAAAGGUGUGUGUCGCCCGAAGAUCGGCCCGCCCCCCAUUAGCUAGUUGGUAGGGUCAUGGCCUACCAAGGCUACGAUGGGUAGCUGGUCUGAGAGGAUGGUCAGCCACACUGGGACUGAGAUACGGCCCAGACUCCUACGGGAGGCAGCAGUCUAGAGGCUUCGGCAAUGGACGAAAGUCUGACCGAGCGACGCCGCGUGUGGGAUGAAGGCCUUCGGGUUGUAAACCACUGUCGGCAGGGAAGAAUACCGGGAUGGUGAAUCUCGGGGCGACGGUACCUGCAGAGGAAGCCACGGCUAACUCCGUGCCAGCAGCCGCGGUAAUACGGAGGUGGCAAGCGUUGUUCGGAAUUACUGGGCGUAAAGGGCGCGUAGGCGGAACGGUCCGUCCGAUGUAAAAGUGCUACCGCUUAACGGAGCAAAGUCAUCGGAUACCGCCGUUCUGGAGUCUGGGAGAGGUGAGUGGAAUUGCUGGUGUAGCGGUGGAAUGUACAGAUAUCAGCAAGAACACCUGUGGCGAAGGCGGCUCACUGGCCCAGUUCUGACGCUGAGUGCGCGAAAGCGUGGGGAGCAAACGGGAUUAGAUACCCCGGUAGUCCACGCCCCAAACGGUGGGCACUAGGUGUGGGAGGUAUCGACCCCUUCCGUGCCGCAGCUAACGCAUUAAGUGCCCCGCCUGGGGAGUACGGCCGCAAGGUUGAAACUCAAAGGAAUUGACGGGGGCCCGCACAAGCGGUGGAGCAUGUGGUUCAAUUCGAUGCAACGCGAAGAACCUUACCGGGGCUUGAACUGUGGGGUAAACCCGCCGAAAGGCGGGCUGCUUCGGCGAUCCCGCAGAGGUGCUGCAUGGCUGUCGUCAGCUCGUGUCGUGUGAUGUUGGGUUAAGUCCCGCAACGAGCGCAACCCCUAUCUCUAGUUACCAGCACGUCAUGGUGGGAACUCUAGAGAGACUGCCCGCGAUGAGUGGGAGGAAGGUGGGGAUGACGUCAAGUCCUCAUGGCCCUUAUGUCCCGGGCUACACACGUGCUACAAUGGCCGGUACAGAGAGGCGCAAGGCCGCAAGGCGGAGCCAAUCUCUAAAGCCGGCCCCAGUUCGGAUCGGAGUCUGCAACUCGACUCCGUGAAGUUGGAAUCGCUAGUAAUCGCGGAUCAGCACGCCGCGGUGAAUACGUUCCCGGGCCUUGUACACACCGCCCGUCACACCACGAAAGCUGGCUGUACCAGAAGUCGCCGAUCCAACCGCAAGGAGGUAGGCGCCGAAGGUAUGAUCAGUGAUUGGGGUGAAGUCGUAACAAGGUA